AGCGGCGGACGGGUGAGUAACACGUGGGUAACCUGCCCAAGAGACUGGGAUAACACCUGGAAACAGAUGCUAAUACCGGAUAACAACACUAGACGCAUGUCUAGAGUUUGAAAGAUGGUUCUGCUAUCACUCUUGGAUGGACCUGCGGUGCAUUAGCUAGUUGGUAAGGUAACGGCUUACCAAGGCAAUGAUGCAUAGCCGAGUUGAGAGACUGAUCGGCCACAUUGGGACUGAGACACGGCCCAAACUCCUACGGGAGGCAGCAGUAGGGAAUCUUCCACAAUGGACGAAAGUCUGAUGGAGCAACGCCGCGUGAGUGAAGAAGGGUUUCGGCUCGUAAAGCUCUGUUGGUAGUGAAGAAAGAUAGAGGUAGUAACUGGCCUUUAUUUGACGGUAAUUACUUAGAAAGUCACGGCUAACUACGUGCCAGCAGCCGCGGUAAUACGUAGGUGGCAAGCGUUGUCCGGAUUUAUUGGGCGUAAAGCGAGUGCAGGCGGUUCAAUAAGUCUGAUGUGAAGGCCUUCGGCUCAACCGGAGAAUUGCAUCAGAAACUGUUGAACUUGAGUGCAGAAGAGGAGAGUGGAACUCCAUGUGUAGCGGUGGAAUGCGUAGAUAUAUGGAAGAACACCAGUGGCGAAGGCGGCUCUCUGGUCUGCAACUGACGCUGAGGCUCGAAAGCAUGGGUAGCGAACAGGAUUAGAUACCCUGGUAGUCCAUGCCGUAAACGAUGAGUGCUAAGUGU
rnacentral:rRNA from 1 species